GGAAGUAAAAGUCUAACAAGGUCUCCGUAGGUGAACCUGCGGAGGGAUCAUUACAGAGUUCAUGCCCUACCGGGUAGAUCUCCCACCCUAUGUUAUUAUUACUUUGUUGCUUUGGCGGGCCGUUAGGCUUCGGCCCGACUACCGGCCCCGGCUGGUAAGCGCCCGCCAGAGGACCCAAUACCCUGAAUAUUAGUGUCGUCUGAGUACUAUAUAAUAGUUAAAACUUUCAACAACGGAUCUCUUGGUUCUG
rnacentral:misc_RNA from 1 species